rnacentral:rRNA from 1 species
AUUGAACGCUGGCGGCAGGCUUAACACAUGCAAGUCGAGCGGAGAUGAGGUGCUUGCACCUUAUCUUAGCGGCGGACGGGUGAGUAAUGCUUAGGAGUCUGCCUAUUAGUGGGGGACAACAUUCCGAAAGGAAUGCUAAUACCGCAUACGCCCUACGGGGGAAAGCAGGAGAUCUUCGGACCUUGCGCUAUUAGAUGAGCCUAAGUCGGAUUAGCUAGUUGGUGGGGUAAAGGCCUACCAAGGCGACGAUCUGUAGCGGGUCUGAGAGGAUGAUCCGCCACACUGGGACUGAGACACGGCCCAGACUCCUACGGGAGGCAGCAGUGGGGAAUAUUGGACAAUGGGCGGAAGCCUGAUCCAGCCAUGCCGCGUGUGUGAAGAAGGCCUUUUGGUUGUAAAGCACUUUAAGCGAGGAGGAGGCUACCUGGAUUAAUACUCUAGGAUAGUGGACGUUACUCGCAGAAUAAGCACCGGCUAACUCUGUGCCAGCCGCCGCAGUAACAC